rnacentral:rRNA from 2 species
UUUGAGAUAAGCCCGCGUUGGAUUAGCUAGUUGGUAGGGUAAUGGCCUACCAAGGCGACGAUCCAUAGCUGGUCUGAGAGGAUGAUCAGCCACACUGGGACUGAGACACGGCCCAGACUCCUACGGGAGGCAGCAGUGGGGAAUAUUGGACAAUGGGCGCAAGCCUGAUCCAGCCAUGCCGCGUGAGUGAUGACGGCCUUAGGGUUGUAAAGCUCUUUCACCGGAGAAGAUAAUGACGGUAUCCGGAGAAGAAGCCCCGGCUAACUUCGUGCCAGCAGCCGCGGUAAUACGAAGGGGGCUAGCGUUGUUCGGAUUUACUGGGCGUAAAGCGCGCGUAGGCGGAUAUUUAAGUCAGGGGUGAAAU